GGCUUAUUGGUAAAAGAUUUUAAGUCUAGCCUGCUCUCUGAUAUAUUUAAUUAAAUGGCCGCAGUAUUUUGACUGUGCUAAGGUAGCAUAAUAAUUAGUUUUUUAAUUAAAAGCUGGUAUGAAUGGUAUUAUGAGAAAAUUACUGUCUCUAUUAAAAAGUUAAAAUUUUAUUUUUAAGUUAAAAAGCUUAAAUAUUAUUAAAAGACGAGAAGACCCUAUAGAAUUUUAUUUAAAUUUAUUUCUAAUAACAAAGUAUUUAAAAUGUAAAAAUAAGUUUAUAUUUAGUUGGGGUGAUUAGAAAAAUUAAGUAUCUUUUUUUUAUAAUAACAUUGAUUUAUGAUUAUAUGAUUCAUAUUAAUGAUUUAAGAAUAAAUUACCUUAGGGAUAACAGCGUAAUUUUUUUUUAGAGUUCUAAUCAAAAAAAAAGAUUGCGACCUCGAUGUUGGAUUAAAAUUUAUUUUUGGUGUAGUAGCUAAAAAAUUAAGUCUGUUCGACUUUGGAAAUUUUACA
rnacentral:rRNA from 1 species